rnacentral:rRNA from 1 species
UACGAAGGGGGCUAGCGUUGCUCGGAAUCACUGGGCGUAAAGCGCACGUAGGCGGAUCUUUAAGUCAGGGGUGAAAUCCUGGAGCUCAACUCCAGAACUGCCUUUGAUACUGGAGAUCUCGAGUCCGGAAGAGGUGAGUGGAACUCCGAGUGUAGAGGUGAAAUUCGUAGAUAUUCGGAAGAACACCAGUGGCGAAGGCGGCUCACUGGUCCGGUACUGACGCUGAGGUGCGGAAAGCGUGGGGAGCAAACAGGG